CCUCUUCACGGCUUCGUGAAUGAGUUGCUGACGGUAUGCCAGUUGGUUCCGGCGCAACUCACUCCGAAUGCCUGGAGGACAGUGAUGGGCUUCCUGUCACUGUGUUUACUGCAGGGGAUUCCGACCUCUGUCAACGUUUUCCGGCGACUUUUUAUCUUUAAGUCGAAUCCGGGAGACGGGGAGUGGCUUUACAUCGCCCUUCGGGCGGGUCGGCCACUCUUUC
rnacentral:lncRNA from 1 species